GUCAGUUUCUGGUCGCAAGCAGCUGCAGCUUGGCAUUCUUAAAUCCCCUUAAAGAUUUUAGCAAAGAAUUUCCCUAGAUGAAACCGACAGCUGCACAGAAGAUUCAACAGCAAAAUGGAUUUGGAGAACUAUGGUCAUGUUGGGGGAUAUUAUGUGCAACACUCUGCAGGGAGACUUAACCCCGUCCCUCUCAGCUUGAUGGCCUGUUAUCCUGCUUUCACUUCUGAACCUCACCACUAGGGGGAAAGCAUUAAGAGAGCGUGAAGCAUAUGCAUGA